rnacentral:misc_RNA from 1 species
GUGAAAGGCCAUGUGUCCAUUAAAUAUUUGCACAUUAUUCAGCACUAUCAUCUUUAAGCUAUUAAGCCCAACCAAAGAUAUUGUGAAGGCACUUUUGGUGGUGCUAUUGAAAUUAGCACUUGCUUUUCCAAACCUUAUGCGACAAUCUUUCAAACAGGCUCCCAAAAAUUACAGAUGCUCAUUGUUCGGACUGAUUUUGCACCUCAACCCAAAAUAUCAUAGCAGGAUUGUAUAGGAAAU